UAGGGAAUCUUCGGCAAUGGGGGCAACCCUGACCGAGCAACGCCGCGUGAGUGAAGAAGGUUUUCGGAUCGUAAAGCUCUGUUGUAAGUCAAGAACGGGUGUAGAGUGGAAAGUUCACACUGUGACGGUAGCUUACCAGAAAGGGACGGCUAACUACGUGCCAGCAGCCGCGGUAAUACGUAGGUCCCGAGCGUUGUCCGGAUUUAUUGGGCGUAAAGCGAGCGCAGGCGGUUUGAUAAGUCUGAAGUUAAAGGCUGUGGCUCAACCAUAGUUCGCUUUGGAAACUGUCAAACUUGAGUGCAG
rnacentral:rRNA from 1 species